rnacentral:lncRNA from 1 species
GGUUUCUUGUUUGCUUGUUGUUUGUUCGGAGUCUGAUGUAAGUCCAGCGAUUGGCAUUCGGUUUCCUGUUUGUUUGUUGUUUGUUUGGAGUUUGAUGUAAGACCAGCGAUUGGCAUUCCGUUUCCAGUUUGCGGUUGUGUGUUUCGUUUGACGUCUCAGCGUCUUUUUUCAGCGUUUUGUUUGGCGUGCGUUAGCCGAACUACGGUAGCUCUGAUUCUCAUUCCAGAUGAGAUACGUAGGCAUAGGAUGCGAUAUCCU